rnacentral:rRNA from 1 species
CCUACGGGAGGCAGCAGUGGGGAAUAUUGGACAAUGGGGGAAACCCUGAUCCAGCGACGCCGCGUGCGUGAAGAAGUAUUUCGGUACGUAAAGCUCUAUCUGCAGGAAAGAAAAUGACGGUACCUGACUAAGAAGCCCCGGCUAAAUACGUGCCAGCAGCCGCGGUAAUACGUCGGGGGCAAGCGUUAUCCGGAUUUACUGGGGGUAAAGGGAGCGUAGGCGGCUGCGCAAGUCUGAAGUGAAAGGCCGGGGCCAAACCCCGGAGCUGCUCUGGAAACUGUGAGGCUGGAGUGCAGGAGAGGGAAGCGGAAUGCGUGGUGUAGCGGUGAAAUGCGUAGAUAUCAGGAGGAACACCGGCGGCGAAGGCGGCUUACUGGACGGUAACUGACGUUGAGGCUCGAAAGUGUGGGGAGCGAACAGGAUUAGAUACCCGAGUAGUC